rnacentral:rRNA from 1 species
UGGGGAAUAUUGCGCAAUGGGCGCAAGCCUGACGCAGCAACGCCGCGUGGACGAUGAAGGCCUUCGGGUCGUAAAGUCCUGUCAGAGGGGAAAAACCGGCCGGGUAGGAAAUGACCAGGCCCUGAUGGUACCCUCAAAGGAAGCACCGGCUAACUCCGUGCCAGCAGCCGCGGUAAUACGGGGGGUGCUAGCGUUGUUCGGAAUCACUGGGCGUAAAGCGCGUGUAGGUGGGUGGUUAAGUCAGAUGUGAAAUCCCAUAGCUUAACUGUGGAAGUGCAUUUGAAACUGGCCGCCUGGAGUGCGGAAGAGGGAAGGGGAAUUCCCGGUGUAGAGGUGAAAUUCGUAGAUAUCGGGAGGAAUACCAGUGGCGAAGGCGCCUUCCUGGUACGACACUGACACUGAGACGCGAAAGCGUGGGGAGCAAACAGG